rnacentral:rRNA from 1 species
GACGUAGGGCGCGAGCGUUGUCCGGAUUUACUGGGCGUAAAGAGCGCGCAGGCGGUCGUUCAAGUCGCGUGUGAAAGCCCCCCGGCUCAACUGGGGAGGGUCAUUCGAUACUGAUCGACUCGAAGGCAGGAGAGGGUAGUGGAAUUCCCGGUGUAGUGGUGAAAUGCGUAGAUAUCGGGAGGAACACCAGCGGCGAAGGCGGCGACCUGGAUGAGUGACUGACACUCAACUGCGAAAGCGUGGGGAGCAAACAGG